UAAUUACAUCAUUAAACUAAUUAAAAUAGUUAAAUUGGAUCAUUCUGUUAAAUUGAUUCAACGGCUGUUAAAUAUUUUCCUACGUGGAUCACAGUUGGCAAGAAUAUUUUCCUAAGUGGGUCACAGUUGGCAAGAAACACUUCGCCCCAAGAUCACCGUCCGGCACCCGGCAGCAGCCUCCAUGAAAUCCGACAACAGCCACCAGACUGGCAUCAGUCAUCAAUGGCUGCUGGCUCAAUUCCCAGCAACAAAAUCCGGCGAGCUUCUCAUUCAACCGGUAAAAUCACCGGAUAAUCAUUCAAAUCAACCUAUGAAGGAACUAGAUUUUUCGGCAAAUUAAACACCCAAACAGAACAAAAAUGAUAAGUAUCCAAAACCAUGAUCCAGAUUAGAAACACACAGAUAGAAAUCAUCCGCGAAAGCUACCGGAAAAGAAAAAUCAGAACAAACGAGGAUUCACCAAAUCUGAGCAUAGACAAAUAGCAUUAUACAAUAAAUACUCAUGCACCCAGAUCAAGACAAACACAAAAAGCCCCAUCCAACAGCCGACGCCAGAUCCAAGAACAGAUCUGAGAUCCAUCUUCCAAAAAUCAUCAUCUGCAAAAAUUAAUCUACUCGAUUCACUACGGCAUUUCGAAUCACAGCUUCGGCCUGCACACACAUACCAUUCUGUUCAAUCCCAGACAUGUAGCUCCUCACUUCUUUCUUUAUCAUCACCGACAAAAACUCUGGGAUGAAAAACUCCUUCUCGUAGUUAUUAGGAGUCGCCGGAGCUGUUGUUGUUAGAGCCAGCGCUAAUGAAACCUUAUCGGAGACCUCACAUAUCAGAUCCUGGAAGUGACAGAGAAAGUAAAGUCGGCGGGUCGGUAGUUGUCGACGCCGCCGUAUCAAUCUGCUGAACGGGAACAGGAGGGCUAAUGCCGAUGGUUGGCGCAACGAGUCUAUAAACAUACUGGGCGGGCACCGCAGGGAUACCAGGAGGCGAGCUUUGAUCGAAGAAUUUGAUUGUGAGAGAGAGGGGGUAGGUCAGAGAUUUGGUUCCACGUAUACCUCUAAGCCACGCCUUUUUUCUUCUUAUUUUAUAAAUCCACGUAAAAAAAUAUUUAACGUCCGUCCGAUUAAUUUU
rnacentral:lncRNA from 1 species